rnacentral:rRNA from 1 species
UACGGAGGGGACUAGCGUUGUUCGGAAUUACUGGGCGUAAAGCGCACGUAGGCGGAUUUGUAAGUCAGGGGUGAAAUCCCGGGGCUCAACCUCGGAACUGCCUUUGAUACUGCAAAUCUCGCGUCCGGAAGAGGUGAGUGGAAUUCCUAGUGUAGAGGUGAAAUUCGUAGAUAUUAGGAAGAACACCAGUGGCGAAGGCGGCUCACUGGUCCGGUACUGAGGCUGAGGUGCGAAAGCGUUGGGAGCAAACAGG